GCGCCCGUAGCUCAGCUGGAUAGAGUGUUGGCCUCCGAAGCCAAAGGUCGCUGGUUCAAAUCCAGUCGGGCGCACCA
rnacentral:tRNA from 1 species